rnacentral:rRNA from 1 species
UACAGGGGGCUCGAGCGUUAGUCGGAAUCACUGGGCUUAAAGCGUGUGUAGGCGGACCCGUCAGUGUCUUGUGAAAUCCCACGGCUCAACCGUGGAACGGCUGGGCAUACUGCGGGUCUUGAGACACCUAGGGGCGAGCGGAACAGGCGGUGGAGCGGUGAAAUGCGUAGAUAUCGCCUGGAACGCCGACGGUGAAAACAGCUCGCUGGGGGUGUUCUGACGCUGAGACACGAAAGCCAGGGGAGCGAACGGG